UACGUAGGGGGCAAGCGUUGUCCGGAUUUAUUGGGCGUAAAGAGCGUGUAGGCGGUUUGGUAGGUCCGCUGUGAAAACUCGAGGCUCAACUUCGAGACGCCGGUGGAAACCAUCAGACUAGAGUCCGGAAGAGGAGAGUGGAAUUCCUGGUGUAGCGGUGAAAUGCGCAGAUAUCAGGAGGAACACCGGUGGCGAAGGCGGGUCUCUGGGCCGAAACUGACGCUGAGGAGCGAAAGCGUGGGGAGCGAACAGG
rnacentral:rRNA from 1 species